UACGGAGGGUGCGAGCGUUGUCCGGAAUCACUGGGCGUAAAGGGCGCGUAGGCGGCUCGGUAAGCGUGUGGUGAAAGCCUGGGGCUCAACCCCGAGUCGGCCGUGCGAACUGCUGGGCUGGAGCACUGUAGAGGCAGGCGGAAUUCCGGGUGUAGCGGUGGAAUGCGUAGAGAUCCGGAAGAACACCGGUGGCGAGGAGAGCUGCCUGGCCUGACACUGCGCUGAGGUGCGAAAGCGUGGGGAGCGAUCCGG
rnacentral:rRNA from 1 species